GGACCAUCAGUGAAAAUUUAAAUCAUAGAAUUGAUUAAAAUUUUUAGUUGUCAAUGAUGUUUUCUAUAUCGUUCCACAAAAAUAUUGUACAAAAAUUCCUCCUUUUUUCCCGCUCUCGUCAUUGCUCUGAGCUACAGUACCCAUGUAUAGUUCAAGGCAUGGCAUUCAUGAUUUAAUCAAGGACAUGAACACAUCUCUUCCAC
rnacentral:misc_RNA from 1 species